GGCUGGUUAGUUCAGCUGGUUAGAACAUGGUGCUGAUAUCACCAAGGUCAAGGGUUCAGAUCCCCAUACUGGCCA